GGUUGAUCCUGCCAGUAGUCAUAUGCUUGUUUAAAAGAUUAAGCCAUGCAAGUCUAAGUAUUAAAUUCAAUAUAUCGAAACUGCGAAUAGCUCAUUAGAACACUUAUCAAAAUCACGACUGUUACUUUAUAUGGAUAUCCAUGGUAAUUCUGGAGUUAAUACAUGCUUCUUGUUUUGUCUACAAAACAAUGACCAUGACAUUUCACUUCUUUUGAACUUUGUUCAAUUAUCUGAUUUGCGUGGAGUCAAUAAUCGCGUAUGCGAUCGAUCGUAUGAGUUUGUGACCUAUCAG
rnacentral:rRNA from 1 species